rnacentral:rRNA from 1 species
ACUCAAAUGAAUAGACGGGGACCCGCACAAGCGGUGGAGUAUGUGGUUUAAUUCGACGCAACGCGAAAAACCUUACCUGGGCUCGAACGACUGGAAGUAUUCCCGAUGAAAGUUGGGACCACCUGUAAAGUCAGGAGCCAGCCGAGGUGCUGCAUGGUUGUCGUCAGCUCGUGUCGUGAGAUGUUGGGUUAAGUCCCGCAACGAGCGCAACCCUCAUCCUAUGUUGCUAACCCGCAAGGGUGCACUCUUAGGAAACUGCCCACGAUGAGUGGGAGGAAGGUGAGGAUGACGUCAAAUCACCAUGGCCCUUAUGUCCAGGGCUACACACGUACUACAAUGGUCGGUACAGAGGGCCGCGAUACCGCAAGGUGGAGCUAAUCCCUAAAACCGGCCCCAGUUCAGAUUGUGGGCUGAAAUUCGUCCACAUGAAGGAGGAAUCGCUAGUAAUCGCGAAUCAGAAGGUCGCGGUGAAUACGUUCCCGGGUCUUGUACACACCGCCCGU